AGAGUCCACGGGCUGGGGAACGCGGGAGGCUGCUCGCAGCGGGAGGGAAGCCAGCGAGAGCGAAGUCUUGGAGCAACUUGAAGGAGGGCUGGGAGGAGGCUGACGCACAUGCCGGGGAAGCCAGGGAACAGCAUGGAAAAGGGCAGAGGCAGCGGCGGAGGCUGGGAGGCGCUGGCUGGGCUGAGCACAGCGCGCACGGACCGGGCUGACCGGGCCCGGCUGCUGGAUGGGACGGGCUGCGGGCUGCUGAGACAAACCAGCCCUGCAAGAAGGUUAAGUGACAUCCCAGGAAGUUUCACGUCUGAGCCGCUCUGCAAGAAGCCACCCAGGCCCUUCUUUGGGGGAUGACUCACUGCACCGAACUCCACAGGGAUGGAUUUUUAUCCUAAACCACCAGAGAACCAGCAACAAAUUCAAACUGCGCAUUGGUCUCCUGUGACCCACUUCAGCAUGAUAGUAAACACUUCCACACACUGGCCGCAAUGUUCUGCACCUCAGCUCCCUGCCUCUGGGACCUUACCCAGAAAACAUAGUUUUGAACUGAACCCAGCCUCCAACACCAGAGAAAACAAGCUGCUCCAGCGCAAGGAAUAAAAUCUGAGGCAUCUGUGUGCUUUAUACUCUAAACAGGAACUGGCCUGCCACCUCAAACUCCGUACCAAAUCACAAGCAACAGAGCAGAAAACCAAAUUAUUCUCAGCUGUUACACUGCUUAAUUUAAUAUUUCCAAUGAGCUCCUUUUCCUUCUCUUCAAGAAUGAAAUGCAUAUUUGUGCUGUGUCACAAAACAUUAGAUUUUGUCAAGGCAAUUCAUUUUUCAAUGGUAAUUUGUAAGUGCACACCAUACCACACACGGUCUGGGGAAUUUUAUGGCUUCUUUCAGAGGGAAGGAAAAUAAGAAGCACUCAAACUAGUGAUGAGAGCAUGGAAAAAAAAAAGCGAGAAGAGGUAACAAUAACAGACAGAGCAUUCAUCUCUCUCAGGCACAGCAGCCUCGGAAAGGGGAGAACAUCCAGGGAAUAAACAGCGGCCGUGCGGCUCGGGCGCUCCAGGACCAACGCGCCGCGUUGCCGAUAAGCGCAGAGCACGCCCGUUUCGCGGAGUUCCCGCUCUCUGCAAGAUUUUAAACACAGUUUAAUGGGGCAUAAAACAGACUAAAUAACCUCAUCAGCUUAAUAAUAAAAUAAAUAAAAGUCA